AUCCAUCUGACGAGUCCUAAAUAGGACGAAACGCUCACCUUGGAU
rfam:Schistosoma curassoni strain Dakar, Senegal genome assembly, scaffold: SCTD_scaffold0005100